rnacentral:sRNA from 1 species
ACUGGGCGUCAUAUAGACCGAACGGCGUGAUAAUUGC